rnacentral:tRNA from 1 species
GGGCGUAGCCCUGUCGGCGCUGCGGCUCAGACUACGAAUCUGAGGGUCGGACGUUCGAAUCGUUCCGGGCGCGCCA